GAAUUGGUGGUUCAGUGGUAGAUUGCUCGCCUGCCCCGCGGGCAACAUGGGUUCGAUUCCCGGCUUAUGCA